UUAAGCGACUAAGCGUACACGGUGGAUGCCCUGGCAGUCAGAGGCGAUGAAGGACGUGCUAAUCUGCGAUAAGCGUCGGUGAGGUGAUAUGAACCGUUAUAACCGGCGAUUUCCGAAUGGGGAAACCCAGUGUGUUUCGACACACUAUCAUUAACUGAAUCCAUAGGUUAAUGAGGCGAACCGGGGGAACUGAAACAUCUAAGUACCCCGAGGAAAAGAAAUCAACCGAGAUUCCCCCAGUAGCGGCGAGCGAACGGGGAGGAGCCCAGAGCCUGAAUCAGUGUGUGUGUUAGUGGAAGCGUCUGGAAAGGCGCGCGAUACAGGGUGACAGCCCCGUACACAAAAAUGCACAUAUUGUGAGCUCGAUGAGUAGGGCGGGACACGUGGUAUCCUGUCUGAAUAUGGGGGGACCAUCCUCCAAGGCUAAAUACUCCUGACUGACCGAUAGUGAACCAGUACCGUGAGGGAAAGGCGAAAAGAACCCCGGCGAGGGGAGUGAAAAAGAACCUGAAACCGUGUACGUACAAGCAGUGGGAGCCUCUUUAUGGGGUGACUGCGUACCUUUUGUAUAAUGGGUCAGCGACUUAUAUUCUGUAGCAAGGUUAACCGAAUAGGGGAGCCGAAGGGAAACCGAGUCUUAACUGGGCGUUAAGUUGCAGGGUAUAGACCCGAAACCCGGUGAUCUAGCCAUGGGCAGGUUGAAGGUUGGGUAACACUAACUGGAGGACCGAACCGACUAAUGUUGAAAAAUUAGCGGAUGACUUGUGGCUGGGGGUGAAAGGCCAAUCAAACCGGGAGAUAGCUGGUUCUCCCCGAAAGCUAUUUAGGUAGCGCCUCGUGAAUUCAUCUCCGGGGGUAGAGCACUGUUUCGGCAAGGGGGUCAUCCCGACUUACCAACCCGAUGCAAACUGCGAAUACCGGAGAAUGUUAUCACGGGAGACACACGGCGGGUGCUAACGUCCGUCGUGAAGAGGGAAACAACCCAGACCGCCAGCUAAGGUCCCAAAGUCAUGGUUAAGUGGGAAACGAUGUGGGAAGGCCCAGACAGCCAGGAUGUUGGCUUAGAAGCAGCCAUCAUUUAAAGAAAGCGUAAUAGCUCACUGGUCGAGUCGGCCUGCGCGGAAGAUGUAACGGGGCUAAACCAUGCACCGAAGCUGCGGCAGCGACACUAUGUGUUGUUGGGUAGGGGAGCGUUCUGUAAGCCUGUGAAGGUGGCCUGUGAGGGUUGCUGGAGGUAUCAGAAGUGCGAAUGCUGACAUAAGUAACGAUAAAGCGGGUGAAAAGCCCGCUCGCCGGAAGACCAAGGGUUCCUGUCCAACGUUAAUCGGGGCAGGGUGAGUCGACCCCUAAGGCGAGGCCGAAAGGCGUAGUCGAUGGGAAACAGGUUAAUAUUCCUGUACUUGGUGUUACUGCGAAGGGGGGACGGAGAAGGCUAUGUUGGCCGGGCGACGGUUGUCCCGGUUUAAGCGUGUAGGCUGGUUUUCCAGGCAAAUCCGGAAAACCAAGGCUGAGGCGUGAUGACGAGGCACUACGGUGCUGAAGCGACAAAUGCCCUGCUUCCAGGAAAAGCCUCUAAGCAUCAGGUAACAUCAAAUCGUACCCCAAACCGACACAGGUGGUCAGGUAGAGAAUACCAAGGCGCUUGAGAGAACUCGGGUGAAGGAACUAGGCAAAAUGGUGCCGUAACUUCGGGAGAAGGCACGCUGAUAUGUAGGUGAAGCGACUUGCUCGUGGAGCUGAAAUCAGUCGAAGAUACCAGCUGGCUGCAACUGUUUAUUAAAAACACAGCACUGUGCAAACACGAAAGUGGACGUAUACGGUGUGACGCCUGCCCGGUGCCGGAAGGUUAAUUGAUGGGGUUAGCGGUAACGCGAAGCUCUUGAUCGAAGCCCCGGUAAACGGCGGCCGUAACUAUAACGGUCCUAAGGUAGCGAAAUUCCUUGUCGGGUAAGUUCCGACCUGCACGAAUGGCGUAAUGAUGGCCAGGCUGUCUCCACCCGAGACUCAGUGAAAUUGAACUCGCUGUGAAGAUGCAGUGUACCCGCGGCAAGACGGAAAGACCCCGUGAACCUUUACUAUAGCUUGACACUGAACAUUGAGCCUUGAUGUGUAGGAUAGGUGGGAGGCUUUGAAGUGUGGACGCCAGUCUGCAUGGAGCCGACCUUGAAAUACCACCCUUUAAUGUUUGAUGUUCUAACGUUGGCCCGUAAUCCGGGUUGCGGACAGUGUCUGGUGGGUAGUUUGACUGGGGCGGUCUCCUCCUAAAGAGUAACGGAGGAGCACGAAGGUUGGCUAAUCCUGGUCGGACAUCAGGAGGUUAGUGCAAUGGCAUAAGCCAGCUUGACUGCGAGCGUGACGGCGCGAGCAGGUGCGAAAGCAGGUCAUAGUGAUCCGGUGGUUCUGAAUGGAAGGGCCAUCGCUCAACGGAUAAAAGGUACUCCGGGGAUAACAGGCUGAUACCGCCCAAGAGUUCAUAUCGACGGCGGUGUUUGGCACCUCGAUGUCGGCUCAUCAC
rnacentral:rRNA from 1 species